UCCUGAUUCAAUUGUAAUUAUUAAGUUUAUUGUGUCAUUAGUUAAGGUCUGUCUCUCCUUAAGCUCCAAAAGGGCUCAUUCCCUUCUCUCAUCUCCAGUGCCUGACACUGCUCCUUGCACGCAGGAGGCACUCAAUCAAUCCUUGAUAAAAGCAUAAAUGAGGCCGGGCGCAGUGGCUCACACCUGUAAUCCCAGCACUUUGGGAGGCUGAGGCGGGUGAAUCACCUGAGGUCAGG
rnacentral:lncRNA from 10 species